UGCUGUGAGGCAUGCUGGAGGUAUCAGAAGUGCGAAUGCUGACAUAAGUAACGAUAAAGCGGGUGAAAAGCCCGCUCGCCGGAAGACCAAGGGUUCCUGUCCAACGUUAAUCGGGGCAGGGUGAGUCGACCCCUAAGGCGAGGCCGAAAGGCGUAGUCGAUGGGAAACAGGUUAAUAUUCCUGUACUUGGUGUUACUGCGAAGGGGGGACGGAGAAGGCUAUGUUGGCCGGGCGACGGUUGUCCCGGUUUAAGCGUGUAGGCUGGUUUUCCAGGCAAAUCCGGAAAAUCAAGGCUGAGGCGUGAUGACGAGGCACUACGGUGCUGAAGCAACAAAUGCCCUGCUUCCAGGAAAAGCCUCUAAGCAUCAGGUAACAUCAAAUCGUACCCCAAACCGACACAGGUGGUCAGGUAGAGAAUACCAAGGCGCUUGAGAGAACUCGGGUGAAGGAACUAGGCAAAAUGGUGCCGUAACUUCGGGAGAAGGC
rnacentral:rRNA from 1 species